GGUAAGUACUUAGAAACAAUGUCCUGAAUGUAGAAAGUACCAAGUGAAUGAUAGAUCUUAAUAAUCUAUUCACCAACAGGAAUAUCUCUGUCUUAACCUGGUGUGUGUGUGUGUGUGUGUGUGUGUGUGUGUGUGUGUACAUGUAUGAAACUGGGGAUCAAACUUAGGGGUUUUCUACCA
rnacentral:sRNA from 1 species